UUUAGAAGUGAGGAAACAGGCUCCAAAAGCUUGUUACUUGCUUGUAGUCAAACAGAAGGCAGAGCUGCGAAUCAAAUCCAGGUUUGUCUCGACAUGCCACUAGCUCAUAUUUCUCUUGGAUCAGCCAUAAAUGGCUUUCACUCCAGUGAGCAGCGAACAGCACCAGAAUUAUAGAACAUUUAUCAACAGCCUAAAAUAUAGAUAACACUAGGAGAAUUUGGUUGCUUAUAUAGAUUCAAGAUACAAUCCUGCUGGAUUCUGGGAUUACAGGACUGUAAACAAAAGAGAAAUCAUCAUGGACUGUUCACUGGGCAAAAUUUCAUGGAGACCUUUGGGGGUUCAUGGAUGUUCUAUAAUAAGUGAGAAUCUCAGAAUCUCGCUCUGUCGCCCAGGCUGGAGUGCAGUGGUGCAAUCUCGGCUCACUGCAAGCUGCACCUCCUGGGUUCACGCCAUUCUCCUGCCUCAGCCUCCCGAGUAGCUGAGACUACAGGCGCCCGCCACCACGAAGAAAUAUCAAUGUGCAUGCACAGAAGUACAACCUUGUGAAGAGGUAGCAAGAGAGCAGCAAUCUACAAGCCAAGGAAAGAGGCCACAGAGGAAACCAACCCUGCCAGCAUCUUGAUCUUGGACUUCCAGCUUCCAGAACUAACCAGGGACCACACUCCCAUGCUGACAGUAUGGGCUGCUGUCUUCAGGACCAUUGCAAGUGUCCUUCACGGUUCGGUUCACAUUUCACAAGCCCAAUGAAGUCUAUCUGGAUUUUCGGUAAUGUUUCCUGUCUCUGAAAUCUUAUGACAUGUAUGUCUGUAUCAGCCAUUUGAUGCUUGAUUAUCUAUUUUUCAGAUGGAUGUCUUGCCUUUUCCUCUACAUACUACAGGAAGAGUGGCCACCCCUGCCAAGGGCCUAGUAUAGUACCCUAUACAUGUAGCUGAUCAGUUGAUUGUUACUGAUCAUAUAUAUCCUGCAUCAUGUUAUAAAAAAUUAACACAGUGCUUGGCACAUAGUUGUACUGAAUGUCAGAGCUGCAGCAUGGUCUGGAGGCUUUCCUCGCUUUCUUCUGCUUCCCCUCCCUUGAUCCUUCACAGGCAUUUUCCUCAAUACAUCUCUUGCCUGGCUA
rnacentral:lncRNA from 1 species